AAAUCCAAUUUAUAAGAGAGGAACAAACGAAUUAAAUAAGUUCGGAAAUGUCAUCAAUCCCGCCCCACGCACUACGGUGGAUGAAUUCCUGCGUUAGAACAUUUUUGUGCAUAUAACAUACCUGCGAGUUAAACACUCUUUUAGCGUUUUGACGAUUCGCCCUUUCUCCCAACAGUCUGUUGUUUGAUCCUCUGGGCACAUGCAAAUAGAUAUCUGCAAUAGCAUAUUGAUGAAAUACCACAAGAAUCACCAAUAAAAGAUAUAUCGCUGAUGGCCAACGCGAACUCAAUCCCAUUUCUGCUUCUUUCCGAAAUGUUGGAGUUUGUGCUUCUCUGCUAGAUCUUCACCCCACCACGGUUGUACUGCAGUAUUGACGUUAGAAAUCUGGCAGUGAUUCUUGUAUUAUUCAAUAUAACAUUAUAUUCCUAAUAAGGCCUUUCACCGCCUCCAGACUUCCCC